AGCAUUCUGUAGGAGAGGAUUGCUUUCUCCAGUCGAACAAACCCUUCGGCUGUCGUUUUCGUCGUAGACAACUGGAAUCCAUUUGAUUGGGCGGCCCAAAUAGAAAAGAUAUGGCCCUCAGGCGACCCCAUUUAUUGUCUCAAGUGGUAGAUGAUUGCAAGAAAAGGCCGGGUUUCCCAGUCCUGCCGCCCUGCCAGCUAGUCGUAAAUGAUCCCA
rnacentral:lncRNA from 1 species